rnacentral:rRNA from 1 species
UUGCGCCUACGGGAGGCAGCAGUGAGGAAUAUUGGUCAAUGGGCUUACGCCUGAACCAGCCAAGUCGCGUGAGGGAAGACUGCCCUAUGGGUUGUAAACCUCUUUUGUCAGGGAGCAACGCCGGCUACGUGUAGCCGGACUGAGAGUACCUGAAGAAACAGCAUCGGCUACCUCCGUGCCAGCAGCCGCGGUAAUACGGAGGAUGCGAGCGUUAUCCGGAUUUAUUGGGUUUAAAGGGUGCGUAGGCGUAAUGCCAAGUCAGCGGUAAAAUCGCGUGG